AGUGAACGCUGGCGGUAGGCCUAACACAUGCAAGUCGAACGGCAGCACAGAGGAGCUUGCUCCUUGGGUGGCGAGUGGCGGACGGGUGAGGAAUACAUCGGAAUCUACUCUGUCGUGGGGGAUAACGUAGGGAAACUUACGCUAAUACCGCAUACGACCUACGGGUGAAAGCAGGGGAUCUUCGGACCUUGCGCGAUUGAAUGAGCCGAUGUCGGAUUAGCUAGUUGGCGGGGUAAAGGCCCACCAAGGCGACGAUCCGUAGCUGGUCUGGGAGGAUGAUCAGCCCCACUGGAACUGAGACACGGUCCAGACUCCUACGGGAGGCAGCAGUGGGGAAUAUUGGACAAUGGGCGCAAGCCUGAUCCAGCCAUACCGCGUGGGUGAAGAAGGCCUUCGGGUUGUAAAGCCCUUUUGUUGGGAAAGAAAUCCAUCUGGUUAAUACCCGGGUGGGAUGACGGUACCCAAAGAAUAAGCACCGGCUAACUUCGUGCCAGCAGCCGCGGUAA
rnacentral:rRNA from 1 species